rnacentral:rRNA from 1 species
AUUGAACGCUGGCGGCAGGCUUAACACAUGCAAGUCGAGCGGGGAAAGGUAGCUUGCUACCUGACCUAGCGGCGGACGGGUGAGUAAUGCUUAGGAAUCUGCCUAUUAGUGGGGGACAACAUUCCGAAAGGAAUGCUAAUACCGCAUACGCCCUACGGGGGAAAGCAGGGGAUCUUCGGACCUUGCGCUAAUAGAUGAGCCUAAGUCAGAUUAGCUAGUUGGUGGGGUAAAGGCCUACCAAGGCGACGAUCUGUAGCGGGUCUGAGAGGAUGACCCGCCAGACUGGGACUGAGACACGGACCAGACUCCUACGGGAGGCAGCAGUGGGGAAUAUUGGACAAUGGGCGACAGCCUGAUCCAGCCAUGCCGCGAGUGUGAAGAAGGCCUUUUGGUUGUAAAGCACUUUAAGCGAGGAGGAGGCUACUUGGAUUAAUACUCUAGGAUAGUGGACGUUACUCGCAGAAUAAGCACCGGCUAACUCUGUGCCAGCCGCCGCAGUAAUAC